AAUUUUGAUUUCGGAUAUCUGAAUAUCCAAAAAAAAAGUCGGAUAUCGGAUCGAGCACCCGAUCCGAAAUAAAAAAAAAACACUUUUUUUACCAUUUUAAAAUAUUUUCAUAUUAUUAGAUGCCCUAAAGACAAAAACUCGGACAACCCUAAUUUUCCCUCAUAAUCUCAUAUCCGCCUCUUUCUCCCUCUUCUCACUUCUCAGAUCACCCUGUAACUCUCUUAGAUCGCUCCACCGUCGUCCGUCGUUGAAACUCACAGCCUCACUCCUCCACCAGUCGCAACUUCCCUCACUCCUUCACCUGCGGGCUGCGGUGGCAACCUGAGUUCCCUUGCUCCUCCACCAGCGACGGCUUGCGCUGCUUCCCUUGCUCUGCUAUGCUUUCCUCUUUGUUAUUACCACUAAUUUGAAUCAGUUAAUCGGGUUUUUAGAUGGAUGAUGCUACUGUAGAAUCUGCUAACCUAGCAAAUCCAUCAAGUGAGGAGGAGCCCUUGCCAUCAACCGCUGUUGCUGCUGCUGAGGAGCAUGCUGGAAUUGAAAAACCACCACAACCACCCAUUACAAAAAAAAAGGCCUUCAAUCGCGACUAGUGAUGGAGCUGAAAAAAAAGGUAAGAAGAAAAGAUCUUGGCUUUGGGAUCAUUAUGAGUAUUGUGAAGUUGAUGUUUGUGGUGACUCUAAAAAGGGUACAAGUGCUAUGAAAAAUUAUAUAGCUUAGAAAGGUGUAAGGAAUACCCCCCUAAUGUUGACAAAUCCCAAAGGCUUCUUGCUUUUCAAAUUGAGCAAAGUCAGCAAACAUUAGGAGAUGCUAGUGUAGGUGAUAAUGCAAGUGGGGAAAAAAAGGGUAAAUUAGAAUUUUGGAAGUUUAGGCAGGAGGAGGGUCGGAAAGCUUUUGCUAAAAUGAUAAUAAUGGAUGAAUUGCCCUUUAGGUUUGCUUAUCGUGAGGGUUUUCGCUACUUUAUGUCUGUUGUUCAGCCUAAUUUCAUUAUCCCCUCACGUUUUACAGUAGCUAGAGAUUGCUAUCGUGUGUUUUUAGAUGAAAAAAAAAUCAGAAAAGUUAUUUUAGCAAGUGUUCUUCUCGUAUUUCUCUCACUACUGACACAUGGCCCUCUUGCCAAAAUUUGUCAUACAUGUGUUUAAUAGCCCAUUUUAUUGAUCACAACUGAAACUUGCACAAAAAAAAAAACUAAUUUUUUGUCCAAUUAGUAGCCAUUUAGGUGAGGCUAUUGGUAAAGCGGUAGAAAAAAGUUUGCUUGAGUGGGGUAUCACUAAGGUAAUGGCCAUUACCGUGGACAAUGCAAGCUCAAAUGAUGUAGGUUUCCAAUAUUUGAGGAAGAGGUUACUAAGAUGGAAAGAUGGGACUGUUUUAGAGGGUAAAUUUGUGCAUAUGCGGUGUGCAACUCACAUUCUUAAUCUGACAGUAAGAGAAGGUUUGAAAGAAUGUGAUGAUUCAAUAAAAAGAAUACGUAAUGUUGUUCGAUUUGUUAGAUCUUCCCCUGCCAGAUUGCAAAAAUUCAGAAAUUGUGUAAAUCAAGAACAAAUUGAAUCUAAACGUCAGCUUUACUUGGAUGUUGAAACUAGGUGGAACUCCACUUAUUUGAUGUUGGAGUAUGCUUUGAUUUUUCGUAAGGCUUUUGAUUUGCUUGAAAAUUCUAAUGGUGGUAAAUUUUUUUCUAAGUUAACAAAGAUGUCGGGUGUUCCUACUGAUAUGGAUUGGGAUCGUGUUGCUUCUUUUAUUCCCUUUCUUAACAUUUUUUAUGAUGCUACUUUGAGACUCUCAGGAUCUUUGUAUGCUACUACUAAUGUGCAUUUGUUAGAACUUGUGACAAUUGGCAAGAUGAUUAAAAAAAAGUGUGAAAGUGUUGACAUUAAGGAAAGGUCAAUGGCCAAUGGGAUGAAGAAAAAGCAUGACAAGUAUUGGGAAAAUGUGGAUAACAUUAACUUGAUGUUGUAUGUUGCUGUAUGUUGUGCUUGACCCUAGACGUAAAAUGCAUUAUGUUAAGUGGGCUAUUAAUGAUCAAUAUGAUUCUGACAAGGCCACACAGUUGUAUGAUAUGGUGAUGGGAACUUUGACUUCUUUGUAUGAACAUUAUGUUGCUUUACAAUCUCAAAAUGUGUCAAGUGUUCCUAAAAAUAUUGAUUUGACUUCAAAAGACUUUGAAAACUAUAAUGAUUAGCAUGAUGUUGCUAAUUUGAGUUUGAGAGGGAUAUUGGUGGACAAACAGUUUUUGACAAAAAAAAAAGGUGAUUUGGACAAGUAUUUGAUGGAUGAUAGAGAGCCUAAUAUUAUGGGUAAGAGUUUUGAUGCUUUGGGAUGGUGGAAAAAAGCGGUGGAGAGAUAUCCUAUAGUUGGUCUUAUGGCUAGGGAUGUAUUAGCCAUUCCGGUCUCCACAGUUGCAUCCGAAUCUGCAUUUAGCACAUCCGAAUCUGCAUUUAGCACAUCCGAAUCUGCAUUUAGCACAGGUGGAAGAGUACUUGAUCCAUUUCGUAGUCCACUUUCUUCACAUAUGGUUGAAGCUUUGAUAUGUGCACAAGAUUGGAUGCGCACUACACGUGAUCCACUUAUGAUUGAAGAAAGUAUCGAUGACAUUCAACAAAUUGAAGAGGAAUUGUCAUCUCUUGUUUAUCCGCCUUCGGUUUCCGUCGUUGAUGAUUAUUUUUAGCAUUAGAAGGGUUGUUGACUUGCCAUACACUCGUACUUUGUUGAUCCGUUAUUGGUUUCCGGCGUUGAUGACUUAUUUAGUGUUAGAUAAAAUGUUUAUGCAUUGUUAACAUUUGGACAUUAAUGUUUUUGGACUUCAAAUUUUUCUUAUGUAAUUUGUACUUUUGUUGCAAUUAGCCAAUUAGUUUGCAUUUUGAAUGUUGUGUAUAAUUUUAUUAUGUAAGUUCUGAAAAUUAGUUGUUGGACAAUACUUUCAAAUCUAUUUUAUCUCUCUUUGUUCAGG